rnacentral:rRNA from 1 species
CCUACGGGUGGCAGCAGUGAGGAAGAGUGGUCAAGGGGCGCGAGCCUGAACCAGCCAAGUAGCGUGAAGGAUGACUGCCCUACGGGUUGUAAACUGCUGUUAUAAAGGAAUAAAGUGAGGCACGUGUGCCUUUUUGUAUGUACUUUAUGAAUAAGGAUCGGCUAACUCCGUGCCAGCAGCCGCGGUAAUACGGAGGAUCCGAGCGUUAUCCGGAUUUAUUGGGUUUAAAGGGAGCGUAGAUGGGUUGUUAAGGCCGUUGUGAAAGUUUGCGGCUCAACCGUAAAAUUGCAAUUGAUACUGGCAGUCUUGCGUACAGUUGCGGUCGGCGGACUUCGUGGUGUAGCGGU